rnacentral:tRNA from 1 species
GGGGAUAUAAUUCAGUUGGUAGAAACCUGCCUAGCAUGCACAUGGCUUUGGGUUCAAUACCCAGCAUCACCG